GCAUGAAGACGUAGCCAAUUAGCAACCAAGUACCACAGAAAAGGUUUGGUUUUCGUAAUAAAAACCUGACAUAAGGUGAGCUGAAUUGUUUCUUUAGCUUUUAUUUCUAUGCAAAAUACCCCUUUCCCCCUUUCCUAUUGCUAACUAAUAUUUGCACAUUCCCUUUGUAAUUGUCUCUCUUUCUAAUAAAUUAUUUUUUGUAUGCAUUUUUCAUGUGUUUUUGUUUAGUUUCUUGUAUGUAAAUCUUUUUGACUUUACUAAUCUUUUAUAAGUUUUUCUCUUUGACAAGGACAGGAAGGAAUAUAGUACAGACAGACAAACAGUGGCCGGCUGCACAACAAAGAGCAGGACAUAAGUAUGAUCUGAACACAUAUUUCAGGCCAACAAAAGUCAAAUGUGCUUAGCAAGAAUCAGCCCUUCUGUGUAGCUUGACUGACUCAAAGACUUUUCAAUGAAAACACCAAAAGUAAGCACCAUCAAGUAGGAGUUUGUCCGAUCAACUACUGCCAACUGUGGAAAAUUCAGCCGGAAGCAGCAAGAAGCCAACCCAGGACCACAGAAAAGGUUUGGUUUUUGUAUUAAAAACCAUAUAUUAGGUGAGUUGAAUCGUUUCUUUAGCAUGUAUUUCCAAGCCCUACCUCUUUCUAACAUAACUAACACAUGCACAUUCCCUUUCUUAUGAUUGUCUUUAUUAGCGUGUACAUGUAUUCUAAAUAUUCUGUCUUGUUUUUAAAAUUCUUUUUGGACAUGAAUAAUAAGGUAUCAGUUUCUAACUUUGAGAAGGGCAUAGAGGAGUAUACGACUCAGACAGACAGUGGCUAGUAACAAAUAGGAGAGCAUUGCAAGAAUCCAGAAACAGAGAAUCGACCAUGACAACAGGCCAACAAUAGUCAACUUGACGGAAAGCUUGGCAAGAAUCAGUCCCACUUUGGAGGUCGUCUGGAUGACACUUCAGUGAGAUCACCAAGAGUAAGGAUGGACAACAGUCCUAACAUGGAAUUCAGGUGAAAAAUAGACUUGCCUCCAUUCUCCAGUUUGAGAGCAAUCGAGUCAUCCAAUGGAGAGUCCUGUACACUGCGGACCAAGUCUACAGAUAAGGUUGGGAAAAUAAAGUCAUACCUCCUUGCUCUGCAUUCUAUUUCUGGAUUCAUGUUGCAUUUGAUCAACUGAAUUUAAGAAAACAUUGCUCUUUGACAUCUUUAUCAGAGGGCAUAUAACUAUCAUGGAUCAACAUUGAAUAGGA